rnacentral:rRNA from 1 species
UACGGAGGGUGCGAGCGUUGUCCGGAAUCAUUGGGCGUAAAGCGCGCGUAGGUGGCCAUUUAAGUCCGCUGUGAAAGUCAAAGGCUCAACCUUUGAAAGCCGGUGGAUACUGGAUGGCUAGAGUACGGAAGAGGCGAGUGGAAUUCCUGGUGUAGCGGUGGAAUGCGCAGAUAUCAGGAGGAACACCAAUAGCGAAGGCAGCUCGCUGGGACGUUACUGACACUGAGGCGCGAAAGCGUGGGGAGCGAACAGG